CAGUCGCCGCGGUAAAACGUAGGUGGCAAGCGUUGUCCGGAAUUAUUGGGCGUAAAGCGAGCGCAGGCGGUUGGAUAAGUCUGAAGUUAAAGGCUGUGGCUUAACCAUAGUACGCUUUGGAAACUGUUUAACUUGAGUGCAAGAGGGGAGAGUGGAAUUCCAUGUGUAGCGGUGAAAUGCGUAGAUAUAUGGAGGAACACCGGUGGCGAAAGCGGCUCUCUGGCUUGUAACUGACGCUGAGGCUCGAAAGCGUGGGGCGCAAACAGGAUUAGAUACCCGAGUAGUCCCUGUCUCUUAUACA
rnacentral:rRNA from 1 species